GGAGCUUGCUCUGCUGGAUCAGUGGCGAACGGGUGAGUAACACGUGAGCAAUCUGCCCCUGACUCUGGGAUAAGCGCUGGAAACGGCGUCUAAUACUGGAUACGAGCUGCGAAGGCAUCUUCAGCAGCUGGAAAGAAUUUCGGUCAGGGAUGAGCUCGCGGCCUAUCAGCUUGUUGGUGAGGUAACGGCUCACCAAGGCGUCGACGGGUAGCCGGCCUGAGAGGGUGACCGGCCACACUGGGACUGAGACACGGCCCAGACUCCUACGGGAGGCAGCAGUGGGGAAUAUUGCACAAUGGGCGAAAGCCUGAUGCAGCAACGCCGCGUGAGGGACGACGGCCUUCGGGUUGUAAACCUCUUUUAGCAGGGAAGAAGCGAAAGUGACGGUACCUGCAGAAAAAGCGCCGGCUAACUACGUGCCAGCAGCCGCGGUAAUACGUAGGGCGCAAGCGUUAUCCGGAAUUAUUGGGCGUAAAGAGCUCGUAGGCGGUUUGUCGCGUCUGCUGUGAAACCCCGAGGCUCAACCUCGGGCCUGCAGUGGGUACGGGCAGACUAGAGUGCGGUAGAGGAGAUUGGAAUUCCUGGUGUAGCGGUGGAAUGCGCAGAUAUCAGGAGGAACACCGAUGGCGAAGGCAGAUCUCUGGGCCGUAACUGACGCUGAGGAGCGAAAGGGUGGGGAGCAAACAGGCUUAGAUACCCUGGUAGUCCACCCCGUAAACGUUGGGAACUAGUUGUGGGGUCCAUUCCACGGAUUCCGUGACGCAGCUAACGCAUUAAGUUCCCCGCCUGGGGAGUACGGCCGCAAGGCUAAAACUCAAAGGAAUUGACGGGGACCCGCACAAGCGGCGGAGCAUGCGGAUUAAUUCGAUGCAACGCGAAGAACCUUACCAAGGCUUGACAUAUACGAGAACGGGCCAGAAAUGGUCAACUCUUUGGACACUCGUAAACAGGUGGUGCAUGGUUGUCGUCAGCUCGUGUCGUGAGAUGUUGGGUUAAGUCCCGCAACGAGCGCAACCCUCGUUCUAUGUUGCCAGCACGUCAUGGUGGGAACUCACGGAAUACUGCCGGGGUCAAYUCGGAGGAAGGUGAGGAUGACGUCAAAUCAUCAUGCCCCUUAUGUCUUGGGCUUCAGCAUGCUACAUGGCCGGUACAUGGGCUGC
rnacentral:rRNA from 1 species